rnacentral:rRNA from 1 species
GAUGAACGCUGGCGGCGUGCCUAAUACAUGCAAGUCGAGCGAACAGACGAGGAGCUUGCUCCUCUGACGUUAGCGGCGGACGGGUGAGUAACACGUGGAUAACCUACCUAUAAGACUGGGAUAACUUCGGGAGACCGGAGCUAAUACCGGAUAAUAUAUUGAACCGCAUGGUUCAAUAGUGAAAGACGGUUUUGCUGUCACUUAUAGAUGGAUCCGCGCCGCAUUAGCUAGUUGGUAAGGUAACGGCUUACCAAGGCAACGAUGCGUAGCCGACCUGAGAGGGUGAUCGGCCACACCGGAACUGAGACACGGUCCAGACUCCUACGGGAGGCAGCAGUAGGGAAUCUUCCGCAAUGGGCGAAAGCCUGACGGAGCAACGCCGCGUGAGUGAUGAAGGUCUUCGGAUCGUAAAACUCUGUUAUUAGGGAAGAACAAAUGUGUAAGUAACUAUGCACGUCUUGACGGUACCUAAUCAGAAAGCCACGGCUAACUACGUG